AGUGAACGCUGGCGGUAGGCCUAACACAUGCAAGUCGAACGGCAGCACAGUAAGAGCUUGCUCUUACGGGUGGCGAGUGGCGGACGGGUGAGGAAUACAUCGGAAUCUACUUUUUCGUGGGGGAUAACGUAGGGAAACUUACGCUAAUACCGCAUACGACCUACGGGUGAAAGCAGGGGAUCUUCGGACCUUGCGCGAUUGAAUGAGCCGAUGUCGGAUCAGCUAGUUGGCGGGGUAAAGGCCCACCAAGGCGACGAUCCGUAGCUGGCCUGAGAGGAUGAUCAGCCACACUGGAACUGAGACACGGUCCAGACUCCUACGGGAGGCAGCAGUGGGGAAUAUUGGACAAUGGGCGCAAGCCUGAUCCAGCCAUACCGCGUGGGUGAAGAAGGCCUUCGGGUUGUAAAGCCCUUUUGUUGGGAAAGAAAAGCAGCAGGUUAAUACCCCGCUGUUCUGACGGUACCCAAAGAAUAAGCACCGGCUAACUUCGUG
rnacentral:rRNA from 1 species